CUGGUAUCCUGUAGAGAUUCUCGGCAUAUCAGCUUCUUGGUGAGGUACCGGCUCACCAAGGCCACGACGGGUAGUUGGUCUGAGAGGACGAUCAGGCACACUGUGAUUGAGACACGGCCCAGAGUUCUUCGUGAGGCAGCAGUAGGGAAUCUUGCACAAUGGGCGAAAGCCUGACGCAGCAACGCCGCGUGGGGGAUGACGGCUUUUGGGUUGGAAACUCCUUUCAGCAGGGACGAAACUGACGGUGCCUGCAGAAGAAGCACCGCCCAAGUACGUGCCAGCAGCCGCGGUAACACGUAGGGGGCAAGCGUUGUCCGGAAUUAUUGGGCGUAAAGAGCUCGUAGGUGGUUCGGUAAGUCAGGUGUGAAAGGCUGGGGCUCAACCCUAGGGCCGCACCUGAUACUGCUGUGACUCGAGUCCGGUAGAGGAGUGUGGAAUUCUUGGUGUAGCGGGGAAAUGGGCAGAUAUCAGGAGGAACACCAGCGGCGAAGGGGGCACUCUGGGCCGGUACUGACACUGAGGAGAGAAAGCGUGGGGAGCAAACAGGAUUAGAUACCCUGGUAGUCCACGCCGUAAACGUUGGGCACUAGGUGUGGGGUCUUAUCAACGGAGUCCGCGCUGUAGCUAAGGCAUUAAGUACCCAACCUGGGGAGUACGGA
rnacentral:rRNA from 1 species